rnacentral:rRNA from 1 species
AACGAACGCUGGCGGCAGGCCUAACACAUGCAAGUCGAGCGAAGCCUUCGGGCUUAGCGGCGGACGGGUGAGUAACGCGUGGGAACGUGCCCUUUGGUACGGAAUAGCCCCGGGAAACUGGGAGUAAUACCGUAUGUGGCCGAGAGACGAAAGAUUUAUCGCCAAAGGAUCAGCCCGCGUUGGAUUAGGUAGUUGGUGGGGUAAUGGCCUACCAAGCCGACGAUCCAUAGCUGGUUUGAGAGGAUGAUCAGCCACACUGGGACUGAGACACGGCCCAGACUCCUACGGGAGGCAGCAGUGGGGAAUCUUAGACAAUGGGGGAAACCCUGAUCUAGCCAUGCCGCGUGAUCGAUGAAGGCCUUAGGGUUGUAAAGAUCUUUCAGUGGGGAAGAUAAUGACUGUACCCACAGAAGAAGUCCCGGCUAACUCCGUGCCAGCCGCCGCGGUAACAC